UGCGUAGACGGUUAUGUAAGUCGGGUGUGAAAGCCCCGGGCUCAACCUGGGAAUGCCAUUCGAGACUGCAUAGCUAGGGUACGGAAGAGGGAAGCGGAAUUUCAGGUGUAGCGGUGAAAUGCGUAGAUAUCUGAAGGAACACCAGUGGCGAAAGCGGCUUCCUGGUCCAGUACCGACGUUCAGGCACGAAAGCGUGGGGAGCAAACAGGAUUAGAUACCCUGGUAGUCCACGCCAUAAACGAUGAGAACUAGACGUUGAGAGGGUAAGCCUCCCAGUGUCGUAGCUAACGCGCUAAGUUCUCCGCCUGGGGAGUACGGCCGCAAGGUUGAA
rnacentral:rRNA from 1 species